UUAGGUGCACCAAAUUCUAAUUGGAUUAAAAUUAAAAAUCGAGUUUGACUCAAGCACCAAAAAAGAGUCCCAUAGGACUAGGACUCCUCCAAUUAGGAGACAUCUAAUCUAAAUUAAUUGGGCUCCAAAUUAGAUUUAAAUUUUUAUUUAUUUAAAUCUAAUCUGGUCCUAAUAUGAUUAAUAUUAAUUUAUAUUUUAAUUAAGUUUAAAAUAGUAAUUUAAAUAAGAGUCCCAUAAUCAUGAAAUUUCUUGAUUCCAUGUGCCAAAAGGAGUCCAAAGUUGAACCUGAUUUGUGCGCCUAUAUGACCCACGCCCA
rnacentral:lncRNA from 1 species